rnacentral:rRNA from 1 species
GACGAACGCUGGCGGCGUGCUUAACACAUGCAAGUCGAACGGAAAGGCCCUGCUUUUGUUGGGUGCUCUAGUUGCGAACGUGUGUGUAACACUUGAGUAACCUGCCCUUUACUUUGUGAUAACUUCAGGAAACUUGUGCUCAUACCGGAUAUGAGCUCCUGCUGCAUGGUGUUGGUUGGAAAGUUUCGGCGGUUGGGUAUGGACUCGCGGCUUAUCAGCUUGUUGGUGGGGUAGUGGCUUACCAAGGCUUUGACGGGUAGCCGGCAUGAGAGGGUGACCGGGAAAAUUGGGACUGAGAGACGGCACAGACUGCAACGGGAGGCAGCAGUGGGGAAUAGUGCAAAAUGGGCGGAAGCAUGAUGAAGAAAAGCAGCGUGCGGGAUGACGGGAUACGGGUUGUAAACAGAUGUAGAAUGAGAAGAAGAGUGAGUGACGGUAAUGGGUAAAGAAGCACCGGCUAACUACGUG